UUUUUUUUUUUUUUUUUUUUUUUUUUUUUUUUUUUUUUUCCGGAAAAGAUGGUUCAAUGUUAUUACUCAUACAACAGAAUGCAUGUGA
rnacentral:ribozyme from 13 species